ensembl:lncRNA
AAUGACAGUAGUAGUCUCAGACAUUAGCAGAUUCUCAGAGCUUCUAUAGUAGCAUAUAUUGGUUGUGCUUAAUUUGUAGGCUAAUUUCUAAUACACAAAGAGGACUCUGCCUUCUCUCCAGUGACCUCAGGAUUUCUUUCAGGUUUACAUCAGCAUGACUAAGGGGAAAAGAAUUAGCCCUUUUCAGAAGUCAGACAGAAAUGAAUACAUCCCACAGGUACAAAGGCAGCUGCCUUCUCACUUCUGCUCUCAGCUACUCUGGCGUCAAAUUUACUACACCUCCAUGCAUGACAAGCAAAACCAAGCCAAAUGGGAAUUAUGAAGAUGAGCUGGGGUAUCCCAAUGGAACAGUUGCAAACAGACAAGCUGACUAUGUCAGGUUAUUCAGAUUAGAGGACAACCUGUGUUUCUCCAAGGGUGCUAUUUCUAACAUUUAGAGACACUAUUUAUAAUACAUUGAAACUACACAUUUUAGUUCUGAACAAAAGGAGGAGUGACUUUGAGGACUGAAGGAAAACAGCGCUAUUCUUUGCAAUGAAUGCCCGAAAGAUGAAAAGCAGAAUCCUCCGUGUUGGAUCUGUCAUACUGGUGCCUCCAUAAUUCACAAAAGGAUAGCAAAUGAUCCCAGGCAAUUUUGACGGCAGCAAAGUAGCAGGGAUCCCAGGGGUGUUCCCAUGGAGCUUUGAUUAGAAAUGAAGAUUUGUGGUAUGUUUAAUCUUAUCCCCUGGAAGACUUUGCUAUGUGUUAAUUGGCAGCAGCACAUAAAGGCCAGAACAGAGGUCUGGCAAAGUGGGUUUAAAGUUGCACAGUUUAGUGUAAACCAGUCUCUUCCCUCUAACAAAUCCUCUUCCUUCUAACAAAUCCUAAGCAAAAUAGAAGAAAAAGUCAGACUUCAGUCCAACAAAUAUGAAGGUUCUGAUGAUUCCCCUGCCUUUCCUCAGCCUAUCAUUGUUAUUAUAGGACCAACUACAGCUGUCCUACAGAUUGUCUCUCCAAAAAAACAGUGUUACAGAAGACUACAUUUAUUAUCUCAGCCUCGCCUCUAGUUAUUUUCAGUUCUCAUCAUAUGUUUCUCUUCAGUUCCAGGUUACAUGCAAAGCUGAGACAUUUUUAAGUCAAUCUAAAAUCUAUGAGGUUAGUAAACUCCCCAUACCUACGUCCUCUUGCAGAGUUUUGUUUUCAAGUAUCUGGUGAAUGAAUAAAGAGCAGAAAUACUAUGUAUUGACUUCUUUAAGUCAAAGGGUAUUGUAAGAAAAGAGCUGAACUCAGUCUUCGUUCGUGCAAUUUUCAAACAUCUAUCAAGACAUUACUUUGUCUGGUGCAAUACAGACUUUUAAUGUAAAGGCAUUUCAAAUAUUGCUCUAAUAAUUGUUUUGUUUUGUUUUUUUGUCAAAACUAGUGACAGAACAGAAGUUCAAAAUCCAAUAAUGCUUAUAUUAAAAUGC